UACGUAGGGGGCAAGCGUUGUCCGGAAUCAUUGGGCGUAAAGAGCUCGUAGGCGGCUUGUUGCGUCGGCUGUGAAAACCCGCGGCUUAACCGCGGGCUUGCAGCCGAUACGGGCGGGCUGGAGUUCGGUAGGGGAGACUGGAAUUCCUGGUGUAGCGGUGAAAUGCGCAGAUAUCAGGAGGAACACCGGUGGCGAAGGCGGGUCUCUGGGCCGAUACUGACGCUGAGGAGCGAAAGCGUGGGGAGCGAACAGG
rnacentral:rRNA from 1 species